rnacentral:lncRNA from 1 species
UUUUUUUUUUUUUUUUUUUUGGAGGCAGGGUCUCGCUCUGUCACCCAGUGGGGAGUGCAGUGGUGCCAUGAACGCUCAUUGCAGCCUCAGGCUGGUCUCCGACUCCUGGGUUCAAAUGAUCCUCCUGCCCCAGCCUCCCAAAAUGCUGGAAUUACAGGCAUGAGUCACUGCGUCCGGCUGCUUUUCCAUUUUUCAUCGUAGCUGAAAAACCAGGCCAUACAGAGAUAGGAGCCGAGGGGACACAGUGAGAAGUGACCAGAAGACAAGUGCGAGCCUCCUGUUAUGCCCGGACAGGGCCACCAGAGGGCUCCUGGGUCUAGCGGUGAAGCCAGCGCCUGGGAAGACGCCCGUUGCCAAGCGGACCAUGGUCUAGCGGUAGCGUCAGUGCUUAGAAAAGGCACCGGUUACUUAGCAGACCGGGAAAGGGAAUCUCCCUUUCUCCGGGGGAGGUAGAGAAGACUCUGCUCCACCACCUCUUGUGGAGGUCCUGACAUCAGUCAAGCCCGCCCGCAGUCAUCCGGAGGCCUGACCGUCUCCCUGUGAUGCUGUGCUUCUGCGGUCACGCUCCUGGUCCACUUUCAUGUUCCACCCUGUACACCUGGAUCUGCCUUCUAGAUAGCAGUAGCAGAAUUAGUGAAAGUACUAAAAGUCUUUGAAAUGCAGAAGUAAUGGCGUAAGCUGUCUCUUUCUCCGCCUCGGCUGCCAAACAGGGAAAGGUGCCCUGUCCAGUGGACACGUGACCCACAUGACCUUAGCUAUCAUUGGAGAUGGCUCACGCUCCUUACCCUGCCCCCUUGUCUUGUAUCCAAUAAAUAACAGCACAGCCAGGCAUUCGGGGCCACUACCGGUCUCCGCGUCUUGGCGGUAGUGGCCCCCCGGGCCCUGCUGUCUUUUCUUCUA